rnacentral:misc_RNA from 1 species
CGAAAAUCAGACAUCAUACAACAAACAAACAAACCACUUUGUUCGAAAAUUGAAUUGCCGAUUUACUUCAAUAAAUAACCAUCAAGUAGUACAAAAACAUUAUCCUUUCUGAAGGACCAAGGAUUCUAGGAGAGCACUGCCUCCAUCCUGUUUUAGCACGGCAAUUAAUAUAAAACCAACAUUCAGUUUCAACAUAACGAGAAGUUAGAAUUCCCAAAUCAUAAAAGUUACCAUUGAAGCAAAUGGUCUUCCUCCAACUCCACUUCUAAGGCACCGCAUUUAGCCGAGCCUCAAACACAAAUCCACGAUAAAGUCCAUCACUAUUCCCUGGGACGCCACUGAUCCACCUCCAUUCCCCUUUCCCACGCUCAUUUUCUUCCCAAAGUGCCAAUCUUCCCACCCUCUUACCCGAAAAACAAACUCUACUCCCUCCACCAAACACCUUAAACUUACUAGAAUCUUGAAAAUACCUAAACAUCUCAGGCGGCAUUCGCCCAGCUUCUUCCCAUUCCAAAGAUUCCAUAUCCAAUCUAAGUAUCAAAAUUGUCGAGCACGUGCUAUGCAACGAAUAGGACGACUUCAAACCACCAAUCAUCAACACCUUAUCAUUUUUACCAGCAAGCAAUCUAGGGCGUUUCAUUAUAUCAAAAAUAUCACCCCAUUCAUGUUUUUCUAAUCUAGUCCAUUGUUGACUAAACUGCAAAUCCUUAACUGUUGACCUAAACAGCUUCCAUUGAGACCUCCACGGGGAUCCAACAUCACAAAGGGCUAAAAUGGUAUCAGAAAUCAAGAUUGGACUCCUAGGCUUUGAUGGUAAAUUUGAUGAGAAUUUCAGCCAAUUAUUGGAAGUUGUCGACCCAGAGAAGUAAAUAGCAGCUAGCUCAGUCAAGACUAGAACUUGAUUAGGUGAACCCACAAGAACCGACCCAUGUUUGCACCAAGCUGAACCCAAUUGAGGAAGCAGCUUAAAUUGACGAGUUAAAGGGUUACACACGAUUAGGGUUUUGCUGUUGUUACCAGGAGGUGAAACAGAAGUGGGUCCUUCAGCCCAGAGAUAGAGAAGACCAUGAGAGGAAGUGAUGGGGUAGUGAGAUCUGAACGGAAGGAAAGAAAGAGGGAAUCGGAACCAGUAGUUAAGCAUGGUGUCGAACACAUGAAGUGCACAAUGAGAAGAUGAAUUGUUGUGUGUAUGAGUAUGGGUACGGUGAGAUGGUCGGAGGGCAAGGAGGGAGAGAGGUGGUUGUUGGGUAUGUGAAG